rnacentral:lncRNA from 1 species
GUCAAUCUAAUUAAAAACCGAUCUCUCAUCGCUCUUGUUUCUAAUAUGUCGCGUGGGAGAUCUAACGAAACCCGCUUUGAGGUCAUAUGUGAGUGACCUCGUAGGUGUGUCUUUUUCGACCAAUGAAAUUAAGUCUUCCACGAUCUUGAAAGGUUAACGUAAGGUAAAGGGAUGUAACUCAUUUUAUUUACGACGAAAUCGUCAGUCAAAAUAAUUCAUAAACUUUUUUGAUUGGCUUAUUAAUAGGUCGUCAACUCAUUUGCCUAUCAUUAUAAAUUCAUUAUUUUUAGUUCACUCACAUGUGACCUCAAAGCC